UCUUGCCCUAAUUCAGCAUCAGUACCUGAAACAGAUCUACCAUUGAUUGGAACUGGAUACUUCCGAGGUCUCCCCCGUGGUUUCUUAGGUUUUGUACAGAUUGCAGUUGUUGGGGAUGGGGCUGUCCACAAAUCUCCUGAUACAGUGCCAGAUACAGAUCUAGCAUUGAUUGGAACUGGAUACUUUCGAGGUCUUCCCCGUGGUUUCUUAGGUUUUGUACAGAUCACAGUUUUUGGAGAUGGGGCUGUACACACAUCUCCUGAUACAGUGCCAGAUGAACAGGUCGGUUUGUCAAUAAGCGGCAAUGCUGCAUCAACUGCAACAAUACUUAAAUUAGCAUUAAACUCUGUGCAAGCAUU
rnacentral:lncRNA from 1 species